GGGGAAAACAUCCCUUAAAACUGCGACCCUCUUCCGAUAUCCCUGAUGAAAAUUAUUCUGUCAAAAUCGAAUUUGAUCAGGAAUUGUUCUGAAAUCUCGAAAAAAUUUUCGAAAUAUUAUUCCGACUAAACGCAAGGGUGAUUAAACGCUGAAAUCCAAUUUUAAUGUUUAGA